rnacentral:rRNA from 1 species
GACGAACGCUGGCGGCGUGCUUAACACAUGCAAGUCGAACGGAAAGGCCCUGCUUUUGUGGGGUGCUCGAGUGGCGAAAGGGUGAGUAACACGUGAGUAACCUGCCCUUGACUUUGGGAUAACUUCAGGAAACUGGGGCUAAUACCGGAUAGGAGCUCCUGCUGCAUGGUGGGGGUUGGAAAGUUUCGGCGGUUGGGGAUGGACUCGCGGCUUAUCAGCUUGUUGGUGGGGUAGUGGCUUACCAAGGCUUUGACGGGUAGCCGGCCUGAGAGGGCGACCGGCCACAUUGGGACUGAGAUACGGCCCAGACUCCUACGGGAGGCAGCAGUGGGGAAUAUUGCACAAUGGGCGGAAGCCUGAUGCAGCAACGCCGCGUGCGGGAUGACGGCCUUCGGGUUGUAAACCGCUUUCGCCUGUGACGAAGCGUGAGUGACGGUAAUGGGUAAAGAAGCACCGGCUAACUACGUG